AUCGAACGCUGGCGGCAGGCCUAACACAUGCAAGUCGAACGAGUGGCGGACGGGUGAGUAAUGUCUGGGCAACUGCCUAAUGGAGGGGGAUAACUACUGGAACCGGUAGCUAAUACCGCAAACCAUCAUAUCUGGCCAGAGUGGAUUAGGUUGUUGGUGGGGUAACGGCUGACCAAGGCGACGCUGCCUAGCUGGUCUGAGAGGAUGACCAGCCACACUGGAACUGAGACACGGCCCAGACUCCUACGGGAGGCAGCAGUAGGGAAUAUUGCACAAUGGGCGCAAGUCUGAUGCAGCCAUGCCGCGUGUAUGAAGAAGGCCUUCGGAUUGUAAAGUACUUUUGUUGGGGAGGCGGUACCUGAAGAAGAAGCACCGGCUAACUCCGUGCCAGCAGCCGCGGUAAUUC
rnacentral:rRNA from 1 species